AUCCUUUGUAGUUUAUAAGCAUGAUUGAGUUUUCACACUCGUGUGAGAUGUGCCUUCUUCAAACCUUGUAACAACAUAGACACAUUACCCAUCUGACG
rnacentral:snoRNA from 1 species